rnacentral:rRNA from 1 species
GACGAACGCUGGCGGCGUGCUUAACACAUGCAAGUCGAACGGAAAGGCCCUGCUUUUGUGGGGUGCUCGAGUGGCGAACGGGUGAGUAACACGUGAGUAACCUGCCCUUGACUUUGGGAUAACUUCAGGAAACUGGGGCUAAUACCGGAUAGGAGCUCCUGCUGCAUGGUGGGGGUUGGAAAGUUUCGGCGGUUGGGGAUGGACUCGCGGCUUAUCAGCUUGUUGGUGGGGUAGUGGCUUACCAAGGCUUUGACGGGUAGCCGGCCUGAGGGGGUGACCGGCCAAAUUGGGACUGGGAUACGGCCCAGACUCCUACGGGAGGGAGCGGUGGGGAAUAUUGCACAAGGGGCGGAAGCCUGAUGCGGCAACGCGGGGGGGGGGAUGACGGCCUUGGGGUUGUAAACCGCUUUCGCCUGGGACGAAGGGGGGGUGACGGUAAUGGGGAAAGAAGCACCGGCUAACUACGG